GCUGGAUCAAUGAUGUUACUGGUAUACUGCGUUAUCUAUCUGCAAAUUAUUUGAAUUGAAGAUAGCUUUCAGACACUGAGAUCCAGU
rnacentral:snoRNA from 1 species